AGCAGAUGGUCACCCCUACGAGACUGGUCUGCUUGAGGUUUCUUCCUCAGAUCAUCAGAGGGAGUUUUUUCUUACCACUGUUGCCUGUGUGCUUUUCUGGGGGUUAGUAAGGUUCGAACUUACUUGUGCAAAGCGCGUUGGGGCACCUUUGUUGUGAUCUGGCGCUAUAAAUAAAUCAAAUUGAAAUU